CAUAACCUCGGGAAACCGGGUAUAAUACCCGAUAGGUCUCGAUUGCUGGAAUGCAUCGAGAUUUAAAGCUCCGGCGCCUAAGGAUGGGUCUGCGGCCUAUCAGGUAGUAGUGGGUGUAGCGUACCUACUAGCCUACGACGGGUACGGGUUGUGAGAGCAAGAGCCCGGAGAUGGAUUCUGAGACACGAAUCCAGGCCCUACGGGGUGCAGCAGGCGCGAAAACUUUACAAUGCUGGCAACAGCGAUAAGGGAACCUCGAGUGCCAGGUUACAAAUCUGGCUGUCGAGAUGCCUAAAAAGCAUUUCAUAGCAAGGGCCGGGCAAGACCGGUGCCAGCCGCCGCGGUAACACCGGCGGCUCGAGUGGUAACCGUUAUUAUUGGGUCUAAAGGGUCUGUAGCCGGCCGGAUAAGUCUCUUGAGAAAUCUGGCAGCUUAACUGUCAGGCUUUCAGGAGAUACUGUCUGGCUCGAGGCCGGGAGAGGUGAGAGGUACUUCAGGGGUAGGGGUGAAAUCUUGUAAUCCUUGAAGGACCACCAGUGGCGAAGGCGUCUCACCAGAACGGACCUGACGGCAAGGGACGAAAGCUAGGGGCACGAACCGGAUUAGAUACCCGGGUAGUCCUAGCCGUAAACGAUACUCGCUAGGUGUCGGCCACGGUGCGACCGUUGUCGGUGCCGUAGGGAAGCCGUGAAGCGAGCCACCUGGGAAGUACGGCCGCAAGGCUGAAACUUAAAGGAAUUGGCGGGGGAGCACCACAACGGGUGGAGCUUGCGGUUUAAUUGGAUUCAACGCCGGACAUCUCACCACGGCGACAGCAGAAUGAUGGCCAGGUUGAUGACCUUGCUUGACAAGCUGAGAGGAGUGCAU
rnacentral:rRNA from 1 species